AAUCUGCUGGUGAGUUCAGACAGAGCAUCAGACGGAUCCACAUCAGCAGUUUCAGCAGAAAUCUGACAAUGAAGCUGGUAUCAGUCGUCUUCCUCCUCCUGGCUCCUCUGUUGACCAGCUGCCAGCAGCUCGUCCAACCGGUGGACUGCAGUGAUAUCUACAAACAAGACAAGAGCGUCCCCAGUGGAGUGUACACCAUCUAUCCCCUUGGAGAGAGGUCUGCUGUCCAGGUACACUUCACCUUCUUUGACUCACUUCUCUGUUACUGAGUCAGAUCAGGUGAUCAUGCUGUAGAGGCACAAACUCUUGCUGUGAGUACCUAUGAACCCAACCAAUCACAGCCCUU